UGGAGGAGGAAGAAGGCAGCAAUGAGGACAGCACCUCCCUCGUCUUCAUCUGGCCCACCGGCUCCUGCGUUGCCAGUUUCGGCUCCCGGGCGCUGAAGGAGCUGUGGCUGGGCACACUGCUGAGGACACCCGAAGGAGCCAAGAGAGCCCGCGUGAGCCGUCUCCCAUCGCUCAAACUCCUGCAGAAGGAGCUGAGCCGCCGCCACGCCGUGAGUGUCUCUCUGGUCGGGGCUUGUUCCCGAGCGCUGGUCCUGCAGCCCAGCAGCAGAGGCAUCG